rnacentral:rRNA from 1 species
UACAGAGGGUGCAAGCGUUAUUCGGAAUUAUUGGGCGUAAAGCGCACGUAGGUGGUCUUGUAAGUCUGGUGUGAAAUCCCUGAACUCAAUUCAGGAAGUGCAUUGGAUACUGCGAGACUAGAGAAUGGGAGAGGUGAGCGGAAUUCCUGGUGUAGAGGUGAAAUUCGUAGAUAUCAGGAGGAACAACAGAGGCGAAGGCGGCUCACUGGACCAUUUCUGACACUGAGGUGCGAAAGCGUGGGGAGCAAACAGG